rnacentral:tRNA from 1 species
GCCGAAGUGGCGGAACUGGUAGACGCCCAGGACUUAAAAUCCUGUGUUCAGCAAUGAACGUGCGGGUUCGAUUCCCGCCUUCGGCA